GAUGAACGCUGGCGAUAUGCUUAACACAUGCAAGUCGAGCGGCAGCACAAGGUAGCUUGCUCUCUGGGUGGCGAGCGGCGCACGGGUGCGUAACGCGUAUGCAACUUGUACUAUACAGGAGGAUAACCCGGCGAAAGACGGACUAAUACUGUGUAUGAUCACAACUCGGCAUCAAGUGGUGAGGAACGGAAUUCGGUAUAGGAUAGGCAUGCGUCCCAUUAGCUUGUUGGUGAGGUAACGGCUCACCAAGGCAACGAUGCGUAGCGGAACGGAGGGGUUUACACACCAGACUUGUACUGCGACACAGACCAGACUCGGACGGGAGGCAGCAGUGAGGAACGUUGGUCACGAAGGGCGAGCGUGAACAAGCCAAGUCGGGUGAAGGAUGACUGGCUUCUGGAUUGUAUGUUUCUAGUGUACGGGAAUAACAUGAGUCACGAGUGACUCCCUGCCGGUACCGUAUGAGUAAGCAACGGCUAACUCCGUG
rnacentral:rRNA from 1 species